rnacentral:rRNA from 1 species
AUGCUCGUUCAUGACUUCCACCUAGAUGUGCACACCGAGGACGAAAUAGUGUGGAAGCACUCCAACGAUGAUGUUUACUCGGCAGCCACAGUAUACAAGGCCCAAUUCUUGGGCAUGGUCAUAUCUCCUUUGGACCGCAUGAUUUGGAAGGCUUGGGCACCUCCAAAAGUCAAGUUCUUCGCUUGGUUGCCUUGCCUUUGCAAGACCGGAUUUGGACCGCCGAUACGUUGGAAAAGAGGGGUUGAGAAAAUUGUGGUCUUUGCCCCUUUGCAAGAGGGUGCAAGAAUCUAG